ACCAUUGCGCCAUACAGGAAAUACAACAGCCCACCCACUGCCAUGCAGCCAAUCAGCGCAGUGUGCUCACAGACCCUCCCACCUCUCACCGAUGUCUGUUCUUCUGACCACUCAGAAGCAGCUGCAGAUAUUCACAUGGAGGAAGAGUCUCCUGUUCCAGAGAACCAGCAGAACCAGCACAACAGGGCUGAGAGCUGUAUGGAGCUAGACAGUGAUGUUGACCCUGAAACUGGAGAGAGAGCACAGGGAUGACCCCGCAUCACAACCGCCCCCCAACCCCUCAGCCUCGUGACAUACCUGUACAUCAUACCUGUACAUCUUGUAUCAACAGUCAGUUGGCCUGAUGUUUUUACCUGGGGCCUCAUUUAUCAAAGACUAUAGAAGCUCUCAAUGUGCCCGCAUACGAAUGGUCUGUAACAAGAAAGUUGGCAUUUAUCAAAGUUGUGCACAUACAGCUUCAUGCAGUGAACAAUGCUAAAUCUCACUUGUUCUAUAUCCAUCUGCUCAUGCAUGUACAGGCUCAUUUCCAAAAUACCAAUACUAAUACUCCUGUAGUGUUUUCAAUGCAGGUACAUGGGAGAGUUUCCAAUCAUGCACCAGGUUCAGUCUCAUUUUUCCAGUUUUCUAGCGCCGUUACUGGCUGUACUGUGUUCAUUUAGUAUAUGCUGAUGAUCACUCCAAGAGAACGUGGUGAGGCCGUGAGUCAUAUGGUGUGAAUCCUCAUGAGCUCCUGUAGAAAGGCCUUGUGUGAAAUUAAGUACCUUUGUCAACGCUGAAAUAGAGUAGGCUAAUGUGAAACUGCGCUUAAAUAUCUUGUCUGAAAGCCACAGUGAAGGUGGCAUUCAGCCCUGUUACUGUGUUUAGAUCACUGCCAACAUUGAACUGCAAUUUACUGCAAACAGAUUAUUCAUGGUCUACAACAUGUUUUAACAAAUACAAGCAGUGAAUGUACCUAUAAUAAUAUACAUGGAGCAUAGCAUAUUUAUUAUUAUAAAGCCAUUUUCUCUAACCAGUAACUAUGUUAAUGUGACAUUUCUCCUCUAGAGUAGAAGGGUGACACUAGUCAGGCCCCAUUGGAGUUCCUGGGUCCCCCAACACAACGCUCACCACCUUAGUUCACUCAACAGGCACAAUGUGGCCUCUGUCACUGACUGAAUGCUUGUCUGCAGUAUUUUCUGCUGCUGAUAAAAUUGCUCCACC